rnacentral:tRNA from 1 species
GGACAGGUGGGUGAGUGGUUAAUACCAGCAGACUGUAAAUCUGCCGCCCUUAAGGGCUACGGAGGUUCGAAUCCUCCCCUGUCCACCA